GGUUCCAUAGUGUAGUGGUUAGCACGUCUGCUUUACACGCAGAAGAAGGUCCUGGGUUCGCGCCCCAGUGGAGCCA
rnacentral:tRNA from 1 species